AGGACGAACGCUGGCGGCGUGCUUAACACAUGCAAGUCGUACGAUGAUGCCGCAACUUGUUGUGGUGGAUUAGUGGCGGACGGGUGAGUAACACGUGAGUAACCUGCCUUUCACUCUGGGAUAAGCCUUGGAAACGAGGUCUAAUACUGGAUAUGACUCCUUGCCGCAUGGUGGGGGGUGGAAAGCCUUCGGGUGGUGGAUGAUGGACUCGCGGACUAUCAGCUUGUUGGUGGGGUUGUGGCCUACCAAGGCUUUGACGGUUAGCCGGCCUGAGAGGGUGAUCGGCCACAUUGGGACUGAGAUACGGCCCAGACUCCUACGGGAGGCAGCAGUGGGGAAUAUUGCACAAUGGGCGAAAGCCUGAUGCAGCGACGCCGCGUGGGGAUGAAGGCCUUCGGGUUGUAAACUCCUUCGCUCGUGACGAAGCCUUUCGGGUGACGGUAGCGGGAGAGAAGCACCGGCUAACUACGCGCCAGCAGCCGCGGU
rnacentral:rRNA from 1 species